GAGAGAUAAGAAAGAAUUAAUAGAGAGAGAUCCUUUGGACAUUUCAAGGUUGUCGUUUCUCUCUCUUGCUCUUGAGCUUUUUGAGGGGAGAAAGAGAGAUGGGAAGGGGUAGGGUUCAGCUGGAGAGGAUAGAAAACAAGAUCAAUAGGCAAGUUACUUUCUCAAAAAGAAGGUCUGGUUUGCUCAAGAAAGCUCAUGAGAUCUCUGUUCUCUGCGAUGCUGAGGUUGCUCUCGUUAUCUUCUCUUCCAAAGGCAAACUCUUCAAAUAUUCCACCGACUCUUGAGGAAUCAUCAGUGUUCCCACAUAUUACACGAAGUUGACAGCAACUUACAUGAAGACUCUCCCCGUUCAUGUUUUGAUUAAUAGGUAUGUUUUCAGGUUCAAGGGCAUUUUGGAGUAAAGUGACGUUUUAGGUGCCAUUAUGGAGCUUAAAGGAGAGUUUUCCCGAGAUGACUAUAAAAUCAGACGUUAAGGUCGACAUCCAGAGAUACAUAUCGAUCGAUACACAUCCUGUGUAAUCGAUCGACGACGCAUCCGAAGAAACGAUGACGAGAUACCCCAUCGAUCGAUGUACGCCUAGUACUAUCGAUCGAUAUCGAGCGUGCAGAAGAAUAAUAAAUAUUCUCAAUCGACUUGAAGCCCAAGAUUUCCCAUUAUUACAAUAAUGCCCCUGACGAGUUUUUAACCUAAUUGAACUCAGUAUUUAUACCUUUGCCUAUGUGUUUUGGCAAAGUAUGCUUUUUACGCUUCUUAUUCUUUUACUUGC